AUUUAUUAUAGUUCUAAUUGUUAAUUGUUAUCUGGCGAACCGAGAAACUAUCUGAAAGUGCUUGGCGGUUCAGAGAAGCUUCGAUGGUAGUGGUGAACUUGUAAAGGAGAAGUGCAAUAACACCAGCUGUUAAACCUCCCAAGAGUGCCUGAGCAGGUGAAGGUGGAGUCUUGGCAUCGAUUGGCGUUGGCGUAAUAGCUUUCAAACUCUCCACUGCCUCCUCCUUCAACGUUUUCUUCGCCCCCGUUGACCUAAGUUUCAGUUCUUUGGCUCGUUUAGCGCGGCGGCGGAGGGAGCGGAAGAGGAAAACCGAUAUAGCUCCGGUGAGGAGAAGACUGGUGGCGGUUUGAAGCGGCGAAGGGUCAUCAGAAGUAGCAAAAACAUCCGUUAUUGAAGAUGGGAGCUCAAUGGGUCCUUCCUCCGGUGGCGCGUUGGUUAUUUCAUCGCCGGAAACAACCGUUUCAUCUGGGGCUUCAGCUAGCAACGACGACGGCGCGUGUGAUUUAGUGACUGAUACAGAACGGCGCGUGGAGUUGGAUUUGUGAAGGGAAUUGUGAAAUGGAGUGAGAGAAGUAAUGGGGUUGGGAGGAAAAGUGAGAAGGAAG
rnacentral:misc_RNA from 1 species